ensembl:snRNA U4 U4 spliceosomal RNA
AGCUUUGCGCAGUGGCAGUAUCAUAGCCAAUGAGGUUUAUCCGAGGUGCGAUAAUUGCUAAUUGAAAACAAAAUGGAAGACAGGUGACUUUACCCCCUCCCUUGAGUAAACACUUCUUCCACAGAUGAAUUU